AGAGUUUGAUCAUGGCUCAGAACGAACGCUGGCGGCGUGGAUAAGACAUGCAAGUCGAACGGGACUAUUUCUAGUAGCAAUACCGGGAAUAGUUUAGUGGCGAACGGGUGCUUAACACGUGGGCAACCUGCCAGGAAGUGGGGGAUAGCUCGCCGAAAGGCGAAUUAAUACCGCAUGUGAUUAGAGAGGACAUCCUUUCGAAAUUAAAGUCGGGGCAACCUGACGCUUCUUGUGGGGCCCGCGGCCUAUCAGCUAGUUGGUGAGGUAACGGCCCACCAAGGCUUUGACGGGUAGCUGGUCUGAGAGGACGACCAGCCACACUGGGACUGAGACACGGCCCAGACACCUACGGGUGGCAGCAGUCGAGAAUUUUUGACAAUGGGGGAAACCCUGAUCGAGCGACGCCGCGUGGAGGAUGAAGGUCUUCGGAUUGUAAACUCCUGUCAUUGGGGAACAAUGCACAGAUAUUAACUGUAUUUGUGUUGAUAGUACCCGAAGAGGAAGAGACGGCUAACUCUGUGCCAGCAGCCGCGGUAAUACAGAGGUCUCAAGCGUUGUUCGGAUUCAUUGGGCGUAAAGGGUGCGUAGGCGGCGCGGUAAGUCGGGUGUGAAAUCUUGGAGCUUAACUCCGAAACUGCAUUCGAUACUGCCGUGCUUGAGGACUGGAGAGGAGACUGGAAUUUACGGUGUAGCGGUGAAAUGCGUAGAUAUCGUAAGGAAGACCAGUGGCGAAGGCGGGUCUCUGGACAGUUCCUGACGCUGAGGCACGAAGGUCAGGGGAGCAAACGGGAUUAGAUACCCCGGUAGUCCUGACAGUAAACGGUGCACGUUUGGUGUGGGAGGAUUCGACCCCUUCUGCGCCGGAGCUAACGCGUUAAACGUGCCGCCUGGGGAGUACGGUCGCAAGAUUAAAACUCAAAGAAAUUGACGGGGGCCCGCACAAGCGGUGGGAGUAUGUGGCCUCAA
rnacentral:rRNA from 1 species